UACGAAGGGUGCAAACGUUGCUCGGAAUCAUUGGGCGUAAAGCGCACGUAGGCGGCCAAGCAGGUCCGCUGUGAAAACUCGAGGCUCAACCUCGAGACGUCGGUGGAAACCGUUUGGCUAGAGUCCGGAAGAGGAGAGUGGAAUUCCCGGUGUAGCGGUGAAAUGCGCAGAUAUCGGGAAGAACACCCGUGGCGAAGGCGGCUCUCUGGGACGGUACUGACGCUGAGACGCGAAAGCGUGGGGAGCGAACAGG
rnacentral:rRNA from 1 species